UUAACAGCCCUGGAGACUCAAGUGCUGUUUACUUUAGAUACACAAGUACAACACAGACAACAGUAGCACAGGCUAUUCCACACUGCCUUAUCAAUGUGCCUCAAUCCUUUUCUAGAGGGGCUGCCCCUUGGAGCCAAGGGCUAAGCUCAUUCAUGCCUUUCUGCUUAGACUUUC
rnacentral:sRNA from 1 species